rnacentral:rRNA from 1 species
GAAAGACCCCGUGAACCUUUACUAUAGCUUCACAGUGAACUUUGAGCAUGUUUGUGUAGGAUAGCUGGGAGGCUUUGAAACCAUCACGCCAGUGAUGGUGGAGCCAACCUUGAAAUACCAGCCUGACCUGUUUGAGGUUCUAACUUCGACCCCUUAUCGGGGUUAAGGACACUGUGUGGUGGGUAGUUUGACUGGGGCGGGCUCCUCCUAAAAGGUAACGGA